CAGUAGCCGCGGGAAUACGUAGGUGGCAAGCGUUGUCCGGAAUUAUUGGGCGUAAAGGGCUCGCAGGCGGUUUCUUAAGCCUGAUGUGAAAGCCCCCGGCUCAACCGGGGAGGGUCAUUGGAAACUGGGAAACUUGAGUGCAGAAGAGGAGAGUGGAAUUCCACGUGUAGCGGUGAAAUGCGUAGAGAUGUGGAGGAACGCCAGUGGCGAAGGCGACUCUCUGGUCUGUAACUGACGCUGAGGAGCGAAAGCGUGGGGAGCGAACAGGAUUAGAGACCCCCGUAGUCCCUGUCUCUUAUAC
rnacentral:rRNA from 1 species